rnacentral:rRNA from 1 species
CCUUUAUGGAGAGUUUGAUCCUGGCUCAGGACGAACGCUGGCGGCGUGCCUAAUACAUGCAAGUCGAGCGGAGUUAUUCCUUCGGGGAUGACUUAGCGGCGGACGGGUGAGUAACACGUAGGCAACC